rnacentral:lncRNA from 1 species
UGCCUUGAAAGCACAAACAGCCAGGUAGCCUCAGAACAAAUACCUUGAGAGGUGCCAGAAAAAAAGAUGAGAAGAGUUUUUUGUGGCUCAGAAUGAUUGAAAAGACUAUAGUGUUUUGAGCAGUUCAUUAUGUUUUCCUCUGAUCUGAGGCUGUUUGUGAAGGAAACAAAAAUUAUUACUGUAUUUCAACCUUGUUUUAACAGUAUUGACUGCACCACUGGUUUCUCCUCCUAACUGGAAUAGCAUUAUACCACUUUUGAGCUGUUACUGGGAUGCCAUUCACCUCAAAGGGAGGCAGCAAUCAAAAGUUAUGAUGUCAUCUUUCCAGAUCAUCAGCAAUGGUAGGACAGCAAUAGAAAAUAUCUCUUCAUGGAUUACAAAUUCUGCACUAUCACAGUUCUGUAUGCAUUGUGCUAGAAUUCCUUGGGCCACGUGUUAUUUCCCUGAGGGUCGUUUCUGCACAUAUGGAGGCAAUGGGUACCUUGCUCUUGACUUCAAAUGGAGAAUGACUAAAUUCUGAACUUUAUUUGCCUAAAGCCUGAAGACAACCUCAGGUAUAUCUAUAUAACCUAUACCUAUAUAUCUAAGGCUUGGCUAACAUUGUGUCAUUAUUCUCACUAACACUUGACCCUACUCACAAAGUAACUACAACCAAUGAAAAUCCAGCCUACCUCCAGGAGGCCCAGGAAAAGGAGUUGAUCUGCACCUGCAUCCUGUGUAAGUGGAUGUAACACUGCAGACAGGAGGAAAUAGCCUAAGGAAUGGGAUUUGUGAUUGCCCCUCACCUCAAGUUUGCUAUCAGCCUAGAUACCCUCUUAGUAUGCUACCUCUACAAAUACCUCACUUCAACACCCUGUUGAGUGUAACAUUUGUGAAGUCCAAUCCAUGGGUUAAAGUGCCUAAAAAAAUAAAUGUCAUGAUGCUAAACUUCA